AUCUGUACCUCCCAAGGGGUAGGUGGGGCAGGGAGAGGCAUGCUGGAGCUAUUUUAUGAUUUUUUCCUUCUCAAAACAGCCAACUUGCCAUUGAAUCAUUUAAUCACUAAUUAAAAAUCCUGGAUAAAACAAGCUGUCUACAGCUUUCUGGCAAACAUCCCACUGACUUUGAGCUUGCAUUAGAAGAGACCUAUUCCAUUUCUGCCUGGGGCUGAAUAACUCUAAGAUGCACCCAUGCUGUCACCCCCGCUGGCUGCUUGCUUUAAGGGCUGAAUCCCGCACAUAGCAUGGCUUUUUGGAGUAUGACAGCCAUGAGCAAAUUUUCAGUCACACAGUGAUUCUCAAAAAUAACUGAAAUUGGAUGCGAGGGAAGAUCUGUCUGAUGAUGAUCCAACAUAAUCAUAAAUAUUUCCUCAUUUUCUCUUUAGUGUUUGUCAGCCCUUCAUACUUUCACUCUAUUCUCUUUUAUAGCUUCUUGGCUUUGUGUUUUGGUUAUGCCUGUUCUGGUUCUCAAAACUAAUUUUAGAAUUUACGGGAGAUGGUCUUGAGUAUUGAUGAAUCCAUGUAAACUAAUGCAGACAUAUAAAGUGUUAGCUUUUUUUACAGGGGUUGUUUUCUCUCACUAAGUAAGAGAGAUCUGGAUAGAUUGGAGGUAUGCUUUAUGAUCAGUCAAUCUGUAUAGUUGAGCCAAGCUACCUUAUAGAAUGAUUCAUGCUGUGAUGUGCCACUUGAAACUUGGCCUGAGUUCUUGCUGGAUGAUGGUUGCCUUUGCAUUAUGAUGGUGAGAUGUUUCCCUACUCCUAAAACAAUCUGGGGUAUAUUCAUUGAUUGCUUUUUUUUGUUGUUGUUGAAAAGUUAGAGUUUUCCACCAGGUAGCUCCUUCUUCAAAAUCUUUGUGCCAUCUCCCACAGUAUUACCUCACAAGUAUCUGGCAGUUAGAUUAAAAUCAGGUUGCAGUAUAGUUUGUUUUGUAUGAACAUUUGUAAGUCAGCUGUUUACAGGAGUUUCCCCGAGCAUACAAAACCUGUGAGUUACAUAUCAUUUGUCAUCAGGAGUUUGUUGUUGUUAAAGAAUUGCCAGACAGAGCCUUGUUCUCUUUCCAUAAUACUAAAAUUAAUCUUGGUUAUAAUGGAAUCCUGGUACAAAAUGCAUCCUUUUGCAUUGGCAAAUCAAGUGCUUGGCAUCAGCAAUAUUUACAUUUACAUUGUUUUUGAACUGCAGUGUGUGCUGGAAGGUAGGGUGAAAUAUUUCCUAGAUGGCCAGAUUAUUUCUAAGAAAAGAUGUAUCCUGGAGCAGAAAUUUAGAAACCUUCUGUUUCAGAGGAGGCUUCAUGGUCAACACAGUUACAGUGGGGUUUUACUAGAUGUCCAUGGCCCCUCUUGCAUUGCCUUCACAUGGGUUAUACCUUGAUUUCAGAGCUUUCCAAAUUCCUAUUGUACAGGCAGCUGCAUGAGCUACCUUUCUUUGUGCUCCUGCUUUGACUUGUUAAUAUCCA